rnacentral:rRNA from 1 species
CCUACGGGCGGCUGCAGUGGGGAAUAUUGGACAAUGGGGGCAACCCUGAUCCAGCCAUGCCGCGUGUGUGAAGAAGGCCCUCGGGUUGUAAAGCACUUUCAGUGAGGAAGAACGCCUGGUGGUUAAUACCCAUCAGGAAAGACAUCACUCACAGAAGAAGCACCGGCUAACUCCGUGCCAGCAGCCGCGGUAAUACGGAGGGUGCGAGCGUUAAUCGGAAUUACUGGGCGUAAAGCGCGCGUAGGUGGCUUGAUAAGCCGGUUGUGAAAGCCCCGGGCUCAACCUGGGAACGGCAUCCGGAACCGUCAAGCUAGAGUGCAGGAGAGGAAGGUAGAAUUCCCGGUGUAGCGGUGAAAUGCGUAGAGAUCGGGAGGAAUACCAGUGGCGAAGGCGGCCUUCUGGACUGACACUGACACUGAGGUGCGAAAGCGUGGGUAGCAAACAGGAUUAGAUACCCGGGUAGUC